UACAGAGGUCUCAAGCGUUGUUCGGAUUCAUUGGGCGUAAAGGGUGCGUAGGUGGCGGGGUAAGUCAGGUGUGAAAUCUCGAGGCUCAACCUCGAAACUGCACUUGAUACUGCCUUGCUCGAGUACUGGAGAGGAGAUUGGAAUUUACGGUGUAGCAGUGAAAUGCGUAGAUAUCGUAAGGAAGACCAGCGGCGAAGGCGAAUCUCUGGACAGUUACUGACACUGAGGCACGAAGGCCAGGGGAGCAAACGGG
rnacentral:rRNA from 1 species